rnacentral:rRNA from 1 species
ACUCAAAUGAAUUGACGGGGGCCCGCACAAGCAGCGGAGCAUGUGGUUUAAUUCGACGCAACGCGAAGAACCUUACCUGGGCUUGACAUCGCCGUGACAGCCGUGGAAACACGGUCUCCCUUCGGGGCACGGUGACAGGUGGUGCAUGGCUGUCGUCAGCUCGUGUCGUGAGAUGUUGGGUUAAGUCCCGCAACGAGCGCAACCCUCGUCGCAUGUUGCCAGCGGUUCGGCCGGGGACUCAUGCGAGACUGCCGGUGACAAACCGGAGGAAGGUGGGGAUGACGUCAAGUCAUCAUGCCCCUUAUGUUCAGGGCUACACACGUGCUACAUUGGCCGGUACAAAGGGUUGCGAUACCGUGAGGUGGAGCCAAUCCCAAAAAGCCGGUCUCGGUUCGGAUUGGAGGCUGAAACUCGCCUCCAUGAAGGCGGAGUUGCUAGUAAUCGUGGAUCAGCAAUGCCACGGUGAAUACGUUCCCGGGCCUUGUACACACCGCCCGU